rnacentral:rRNA from 1 species
AGGCCGUACCAUAUCCUGUGUGUUGCUGAGCUGCUAUCAAGAUUCCACAAGCUAAGCAAGGUUAAGUGAGUCAAGUACUUGGAUGGAAGACCUCCUUGGAAGACUUAGGUGCUGCAUG